CAGGUAUGUAAGGGGCAGGGCGUCUCCAGUCAGUCAGCGAGAUAAAAGAAUGAACUUAAGUGAGAACCCAGCUGCGAUAUUGUGAACCUUAUUUUAUCAGCAAUGGCUCCCUUGUCUGGCUACCGAUACGCAAUGCCCUCUGGAAUGUUUUGUUCUCGGCCUGUCAUUCUUCCACCGGGAUUCUUGCAUCAAGUCUUAGAAUAAAGGUCUCUUUAAAUCAAAUAAUUUAUGGCAGCCAGCACUGUCCAGCCCCAGCGGUCACGAGUUCUUAAUGAACGCAGGAGCAGCCUUUUCUUUCCCCCGAAGCGAAACAUCAUAAAAAGAUUCCAAUGCCGGCGGCAUUUCUGAUGUGGACAGUAGCUGACUGGGAAUUGGAGUGUACCACCAACUCAUCUCGCAUCAGAUACUGAACAAGCAUCAGAUGACAACAACUUUAGUCAAUAAAGAUCUGGGCUUACGGUGUGACCUGGCGUAGCUCUGGAGAGUGGUAGCAAUAGUUGCCUAUAAGUAGGGCAUUUAUUUAAAUGAAUGCUGUA